GACGAACCGUGCAAACGUUGUUCGGAAUCACUGGGCUUAAAGGGCGCGUAGGCGGUCUCGCCAGUCUGUGGUGAAAGCCCCCGGCUCAACCGGGGAAGUGCCGUGGAUACUGCGAGUCUGGAGGAGGGUAGGGGCAUCUGGAACGCUGGGUGGAGCGGUGAAAUGCGUUGAUAUCCAGCGGAACUCCGGUGGCGAAGGCGAGGUGCUGGACCCUUUCUGACGCUGAUGCGCGAAAGCCAGGGGAGCAAACGGG
rnacentral:rRNA from 1 species